GAUGAACGCUGGCGGCGUGCCUAAUACAUGCAAGUCGAGCGAAUGGAUUAAGAGCUUGCUCUUAUGAAGUUAGCGGCGGACGGGUGAGUAACACGUGGGUAACCUGCCCAUAAGACUGGGAUAACUCCGGGAAACCGGGGCUAAUACCGGAUAACAUUUUGAACCGCAUGGUUCGAAAUUGAAAGGCGGCUUCGGCUGUCACUUAUGGAUGGACCCGCGUCGCACUAGCUAGUUGGUGAGGUAACGGCUCACCAAGGCAACGAUGCGUAGCCGCCCGGAGAGGGGGAUCGGCCACACUGGGCCUGAGACACGGCCCAGACUCCUACGGGAGGCAGCAGUAGGGAAUCUGCCGCAAUGGACGAAAGUCUGACGGAGCAACGCCGCGUGAGUGAUGAAGGCUUUCGGGUCGUAAAACUCUGUUGUUAGGGAAGAACAAGUGCUAGUUGAAUAAGCUGACACCUUGACGGUACCUAACCAGAAAGCCACGGCUAACUACGUGCCAGCCGCCGCCGUAA
rnacentral:rRNA from 1 species